rnacentral:rRNA from 1 species
CCUGGUUGAUCCUGCCAAUAGUCAUGUGCUUGUCUCAAAGAUUAAGCCAUGCAUGUGUAAGUAAUAACAAAUUCAGACUGUGAAACUGCGAAUGGCUCAUUAAAUUAGUUAUAAUUUGUUUGAUGGUAUCCACUACUCGAAUAACCGUAGUAAUUCUAGAGCUAAUAUGUGGAACAAAGCCCAACUUAUGGAAGGGGUACAUUUAUUAGAUAAAAGGUCAACACGGGUUCUGCCCGUUGUUGAGAAGAUUCAUGAUAACUUGACGAAUUGCACGGCCAUCAUGCCGGUGAUGUAUUAUUCAAAUUUCUUCCCUAUAAACUUUCGAUGGUAGGAUAGUGGCCUACCAUGGUGGUGAUGGGUGAAAGAGAUUUAGGGUUCUAUUUUAGAAAGUGAGUCCGACAAACGGCUACCACAUCCAAGGAAGGCAGCAGGCGCGCAGAUUACCCAAUCCUGACACGGGGAGUUAGUAACAAUAAAUAACAAUAUCAUGCUCAAUAAGUCUGGUAAUUGGAAUGAGUACAAUCUAAAUCCCUUAAAGAGGAUCCAUUAGAGGGCAAUUUUAGUGCCAGCAGCCGUGGUAAUUCCAGCUCUAAUAGCGUAUAUUUAAGUUGUUGCAGUUAAAAAGAUCAUAGUUGGACUUUAGGAUGGGCCGUCUGGUCCGCUAAUGGUGUGCACCGAUCGUCUCGUCCCUUCUGUCGAUAAUGAACUCUUGGCAUUAACUUGCCGAGUCGUGCCUCCGCUGCUGUUACUUUGAAGAAAUUAGAGUGCUCAAAGCAAGCCUACGCUCUAUAUACUUUAGCAUGGGAUAACAUUAUAGGAUUUCGGUCCUAUUACGUUGGCCUUUUGGAUCGGAGUAAUGAUUAACAAGGACAGUCAGGGGCAUUCGUAUUUCAUAGUUAGAGGUGAAAUUCUUGCAUUUAUUAAAGACGAACAACUAUGAAAUCAUUUGACAAGGAUGUUUUCAAUAAUCAAGAACGAAAGUUGGAGGCUCAAAGAUGAUCAGAUACCGUUCUAGUCUCAACCAUAAACGAUGUCGACUAGGGAUUGACGAAUAUUGCUUUUAGAACUCUGCCGGCACCUUAUGAGAAAUCAAAGUUUUUGGGUUUCGGGGAGAGUAUGGCCAUAAGGAUGAAACUUAAAGGAAUUGAUUGAAGGGCACCACCAGGAGUGAAUCCUGUGGCUUAAUUUGACUCAACAUGGGGAAACUUACCAG